GAUGCUAAUACCGGAUAACAACAGAUGAUGCCUAUCAACUGUUUAAAAGAUGGUUCUGCUAUCACUCUUGGAUGGACCUGCGGUGCAUUAGCUAGUUGGUAGGGUAACGGCCUACCAAGGCGAUGAUGCAUAGCCGAGCUGAGAGACUGAUCGGCCACAUUGGGACUGAGACACGGCCCAAACUCCUACGGGAGGCAGCAGCA
rnacentral:rRNA from 1 species